rnacentral:rRNA from 1 species
UCCAAGCUGUAAACGAUGCGGGCUAGGUGUUGGGGUGGCUACGGGCCACUUCAGUGCCGCAGCGAAGGCGUUAAGCCCGCCGCCUGGGGAGUACGGCCGCAAGGCUGAAACUUAAAGGAAUUGGCGGGGGAGCACCACAAGGGGUGAAGCUUGCGGUUUAAUUGGAGUCAACGCCGGGAACCUUACCGGGGGCGACAGCAGUAUGAUGGCCAGAUUGAUGGUCUUGCUUGACGAGCUGAGAGGAGGUGCAUGGCCGUCGCCAGUUCGUGCCGUGAGGUGUCCUGUUAAGUCAGGUAACGA